rnacentral:rRNA from 1 species
AGUGAACGCUGGCGGUAGGCCUAACACAUGCAAGUCGAACGGCAGCACCGUAAGAGCUUGCUCUUACGGGUGGCGAGUGGCGGACGGGUGAGGAAUACAUCGGAAUCUACUUUUUCGUGGGGGAUAACGUAGGGAAACUUACGCUAAUACCGCAUACGACCUACGGGUGAAAGCAGGGGAUCUUCGGGCCUUGCGCGAUUGAAUGAGCCGAUGUCGGCUUAGCUAGUUGGCGGGGUAAAGGCCCACCAAGGCGACGAUCCGUAGCUGGUCUGAGAGGAUGAUCAGCCACACUGGAACUGAGAAACGGUCCAGACUCCUACGGGAGGCAGCAGUGGGGAAUAUUGGACAAUGGGCGCAAGCCUGAUCCAGCCAUACCGCGUGGGUGAAGAAGGCCUUCGGGUUGUAAAGCCCUUUUGUUGGGAAAGAAAAGCAGCAGGUUAAUACCCCGCUGUUCUGACGGUACCCAAAGAAUAAGCACCGGCUAACUUCGUG